GAAGCAGCCACAAGAUGUCAACAUCUACCAAGCUGCUGCUCAGAGCCAGUUCUGCGUUGUCGGGAUGGAGAGCCCUGCGAGGAAGUUCGCCCGCGGAGCGCAGGCAUAUCAAGUUCAAAAGAAAACGUUGCCUCUCGCUAAUGAGAAGAUUAAUUGCAUUCACAUAUGCAGCAGACUUUGCCAAUCCUGUUGAAAGUUUGAUGACCUUUAAGAGACAAAGUUUUAGUGUGCCCAGGAUAAAUAAUUCAUCCUUCACUGAUCUGCCCUCUGUAUCCAUCUGCUUAAUGCUGAGGCAUGUUGAUUAAAGCGACUGAGUGCAAUUAUCUUCAUACUUCAUCGAGAUAAUAAUAUCUGUUUUCCUAUUGUACUUCAACGCACAAUUGCUCUUUUAAAGAUAUCAACAGCCCAA